GCUAGAUAGAUGGGCUAGGGACCACAUGUGGCCUGUGGGCCAUAGUUUGGGAACUUCUGCUCUAAGGUCUUCUAAGUACAGAUCCAAACUUGAAAAGUAGAGGACAAGUUGUGAAUUUCCCAGCUCAAUGGAGGAUCAGGGAGACACAGUAGUCCCUGGUGAUAUGUUACAGACUAGAAGAUGCCCCUUCUUUCUUCCAUAAUCUCAAUAUGUAAAACUUCUCUUUCCUUCAGAUGGCCCAGAUAUUGCCACGAUUGCCCAUUCAGUAGAUGAGUACCCUAUUGGAGCAAAUAUUACCUUGAGCUGUUCUGCUGUUUCUAAUCCACCAGUCCAAUUCACUUGGUUGCACAACGGACAACCAGUCAGCAACUCAGCCACAUUUUCAUUUAUUGCAUCCAUGACUCUUUCUGGAACUUAUACCUGUAAUGCAGCCAACUCAUUGACUGGCUUGACACGCUCCGCAACCAAGAAUGUUAUAAUCUAUGGACCAGCUGGUUUAUCCACAUUUGAAAAACACCACGUCAUGGAAUGUCAAUAAAAGAAAGGGGGAAGGAAUUGACCAUGGCUUGUAACGAGGACUCUGGGAGAGAGGAGAGAGGUAAAGGAAGAUAAAGUUUAAUGGAAAAUAGGCUACACGUGGUCUGAGAACUUAGAGUAAAUGAUGAGAUUUAAAUAUGUGCUGAUCUACCAUUACUAGUAAUAAACUUCAUGAAAAACAAUAACUGUUAGAUAUA
rnacentral:lncRNA from 1 species